rnacentral:rRNA from 1 species
AGUGAACGCUGGCGGUAGGCCUAACACAUGCAAGUCGAACGGCAGCACAGUAAGAGCUUGCUCUUACGGGUGGCGAGUGGCGGACGGGUGAGGAAUACAUCGGAAUCUACUUUUUCGUGGGGGAUAACGUAGGGAAACUUACGCUAAUACCGCAUACGACCUACGGGUGAAAGUAGGGGAUCUUCGGACCUUGCGCGAUUGAAUGAGCCGAUGUCGGAUUAGCUAGUUGGCGGGGUAAAGGCCCACCAAGGCGACGAUCCGUAGCUGGUCUGAGAGGAUGAUCAGCCACACUGGAACGGAGACACGGUCCAGACUCCUACGGGAGGCAGCAGUGGGGAAUAGUGGACAAUGGGCGCAAGCCUGAUCCAGCCAUACCGCGUGGGUGAAGAAGGCCUUCGGGUUGUAAAGCCCUUUUGUUGGGAAAGAAAAGCAGCAGGUUAAUACCCCGCUGUUCUGACGGUACCCAAAGAAUAAGCACCGGCUAACUUCGUG